CUUCACUUCUGUGAUCUGGAAAAGACAAAAAUUCUAUGUUAUUUCUUUUUUUCUUCUUUUUUUUUUUUUUUUUUUUUUUGAGACAGAGUCUCGCUCUGUCACCCAGCCUGGAGUGCAGGGGUGCAAUAUCGGUUCACUGCAAUUCUCCUGCCUCAGCCUCCCAAGUAGCUGGAAUUACAGGCGUGCACCACUACACCUGGCUAAUUUUUGUAUUUUUGGUAGAGACGGGGUUUCACCAUGUUGGCCAGGCUGAUCUUGAACUCCUGACCUCGCGUGAUCCACCCGCCUUGGUCUCCCAAAGUGCUGGGAUUACAGGCGUGAG
rnacentral:lncRNA from 1 species